rfam:Salmo salar isolate Sally breed double haploid chromosome ssa15, whole genome shotgun sequence.
UGCAAUAAUUGUUGUAAGUCACUUUGGAUAAAAGCGUCUGCUAAAUGGCAUAUA